rnacentral:rRNA from 1 species
GAUGAACGCUGGCGGCGUGCCUAAUACAUGCAAGUCGAGCGAACAGAUGAGGAGCUUGCUCCUCUGACGUUAGCGGCGGACGGGUGAGUAACACGUGGAUAACCUACCUAUAAGACUGGGAUAACUUCGGGAAACCGGAGCUAGUACCGGAUAAUAUAUUGAACGGCAUGGUUCAAUAGUGAAAGACGGUUUUGCUGUCACUUAUAGAUGGAUCCGCGCCGCAUUAGCUAGUUGGUAAGGUAACGGCUUACCAAGGCAACGAUGCGUAGCCGACCUGAGAGGGUGAUCGGCCACACUGGAACUGAGACACGGUCCAGACUCCUACGGGAGGCAGCAGUAGGGAAUCUUCCGCAAUGGGCGAAAGCCUGACGGAGCAACGCCGCGUGAGUGAUGAAGGUCUUCGGAUCGUAAAACUCUGUUAUUAGGGAAGAACAAAUGUGUAAGUAACUAUGCACGUCUUGACGGUACCUAAUCAGAAAGCCACGGCUAACUACGUG